UGUUUGGGUAUGUGUGUGUGCAUGUGUAUGCAUGCGUAUGUGUAGGUAUAUAUAUCUCCACAUAUACGUACACACACAUGUAAUCCCCAUA
rnacentral:miRNA from 1 species